rnacentral:miRNA from 1 species
CAGGUCACGUCUCUGCAGUU